rnacentral:rRNA from 1 species
GAUGUCUGAUUAGCUAGUUGGUGAGGUAAAGGCUUACCAAGGCUACGAUCAGUAGCUGGUCUGAGAGGACGACCAGCCACACUGGGACUGAGACACGGCCCAGACUCCUACGGGAGGCAGCAGUGGGGAAUUUUGGACAAUGGGGGAAACCCUGAUCCAGCCAUGCCGCGUGAGUGAAGAAGGCCUUCGGGUUGUAAAGCUCUUUCAGCCGGAACGAAACGGUCACGGCUAAUACCYGUGACUACUGACGGUACCGGAAGAAGAAGCACCGGCUAACUACGUGCCAGCAGCCGCGGUAAUACGUAUGGUGCGAGCGUUAAUCGGAAUUACUGGGCGUAAAGCGUGCGCAGGCGGUUUUGUAAGUCAGAUGUGAAAUCCCCGGGCUCAACCUGGGAACU